rnacentral:rRNA from 1 species
AUGCAGAACUCAAAAACCAGUAGGAAUGGCUCUUCAGAUGCUCCGCAGAGGACGUCUCCAGCAACUCCGCGGUCGUCUCGUGUGGCGAAAACCGGAGGGAAUGAAACUGACUCCGCAGGGAUCACACCAACAAGAACACCUACAGAGAGGAGCCCAAAGGUCAUUGAGCGCCGUUCACCACGGAGCCCAGUUACUGAGAAGAAGCGCCCAAGUAGGCUAACUGAGCUGGAGUCUAAGGUCAACCAGCUCCAAGAUGAGCUGAAGAAGACCAAGGAACAGCUGAGCGCAUCAGAGGCACGAAGGCGCCAAGCACAGCAGGAGGCCGAUGAAGCAAAGAAGCAGGGGCAGGAUGCGUCGUCGAAGCUGGAGGAGUCGCAGUGCCAGCUUGUCGAGCUCUCAGCAGCAGAGGAAUCCCGUCUCCAGGAGUUGCGCAAGAUCCAGCAGGAGCGUGACCGCACUUGGCAGGCCGAGCUUGAGGCAUUGCAGAAACAGCAGUCAGUGGAUGCCGCUGCACUCAGCUCGGCCUUGUCUGAGAUCCAGAGGCUGAAGUUGCAGCUGGAGGCGACAGUGCAAUCCGAUACGGCCCGUGCCAAGCAAUGUGAGCAUGCGGACUCUGAGCUCGAGGGGCUGAAGCAGGGGAUGGAGCUCAGGCUUGCAACGAUUGAAGCCCUGAAAGUAAAUGUCAGUGAAAGUGACAAGGCUGCAGCUGAUGCGAAUGCCACGGCAACUGAGGCCAAGCUGCAGCUUGAGACCGCAAAGGCCACCAUUGACACACUCCUAGCUGAGGGUGCCCGGUUGCAGGAAUGCCUGAGGUCAAAGGACAUAGAACUCAGUGAGUCUAAAGCUCGUGUGGCAUCGCUCGAGGAGGAUCUGAAGAAGGCGCAGGCUGCAGCUAAUGAAAUUCUGAACGAGGCACAGGCAGGCAAUGCCAAUGGUGGCUUUGGCAGUCCGUUGACUGAAGUUCUGAAAAAGAGCGAGCAUCCCACCAGUGACGUCAAUGGAAGCUGUGGAAGUCCUGACCCAGAGAUUGAGCACUUGCGGAUGGCGCUUGAGGUGGCUGAGAUGAGGUACCAGGAGGAGCAAACUCGGAUGGCCUUUGAGACAAAGACAGUCUAUGAGAUGCUGGAGAAUGUCAAGUCUGAGUGCACGCGCCAAGUGUGUGAUGUCGAGCUCAAGCUGAAGAGCAAGAAUGACGAGCUCAUGGCAGCGCAGGCAGCACUGACAGGCAAGCCGCAGGAGGACCUUCACAGGUCAGACGGGCUGAGUGAAAUGCAGCCGGAGCUGGAGGCGAAGCUGAUGAAGUCGAUCACAGACAUCGCGGAGCUCAAGGCGAACCUGAUGGACAAGGAGAACGCGCUGCAGAGCCUGGCGGAGGAGAACGAGACCCUCAAGUCGGAGGCGGGCAGGAAGGAGGCGGAGGUGCAGCAGCGGUACGAGGCGGCGGUGGCGGAGCUGGAGCUGGCCAAGGCGGCGGAGCAGGACGUGCGGAUGCGGCUCGGGUACGUGACGGAGGAGGCCGACAAGAGCAGCCGGCGCGCCGCCCGGGCCUCGGAGCAGCUGGACGCCGCGCAGGCGGCGAGCGCGGAGGCGGACGCGGAGCUGCGCCGGCUGCGCGUGCAGUCCGACCAGUGGCGCAAGGCCGCGGAGGCCGCCGCCGCUGCCCUCGCGGGCGGUGGCGGCAACAAUGGCGGCCGGAUGGUGGAGAGGACCGGGUCGCUGGACACGGAGUACAACGGGUCCAUCGGCGGGAAGCUGAUGGGGUCGCCGUUCUCGGACGAGGAGUCCCCGAAGCGGCGCAACAGCGGCGUGCUGCGGAGGAUGAGCGGGCUGUGGAAGAAGGGGCCCAAGUGA